AUACGGAGGGUGCAAGCGUUUUUCGGAAUCACUGGGCGUAAAGGGCGCGCAGGCGGGUUGGUAAGUCAGAUGUGAAAGCCCACCGCUCAACCGUGGAAGUGCAUUUGAAACUGCCAGACUUGAGUACCAGAGGGGAAAGUGGAAUUCCCGGUGUAGAGGUGAAAUUCGUAGAUAUCGGGAGGAAUACCGGUGGCGAAGGCGACUUUCUGGCUGGAUACUGACGCUGAGGCGCGAAAGCGUGGGGAGCAAACAGGAUUAGAAACCCCAGUAGUCC
rnacentral:rRNA from 1 species